rnacentral:rRNA from 1 species
UUCUGACGUGCAAAUCGAUAAUCUGAUCUGGGUAUAGGGGCGAAACACUAAUCGAACCAUCUAGUAGCUGGUUCCUUCCGAAGUUUCCCUCAGGAUAGCAAGCGUACAUUUUUAGUUUCAUCCCGUAAAGCGAAUGAUUAGAGGCCUUGGGGCGUAUAUAGCCUCAACCUAUUCUCAAACUUUUAAUGGGUGUGAGUGUUCUUUCUCAAUUGAAGAACGCUGCUAAAUAAGUAUGCUUAGUGGGCCAUUUUUGGUAAGCAGAACUGGCGCUGUGGGUUGAACCAAUUGUUGAGUUAAAGUGCCUAAAGCUGGAAUGCGCAUGAGAUCUAUAAAGGGUGUUAGUUGCUGAAGACAGCAGGACGGUGGCCAUGGAAGUCGGAAUCCGCUAAGGAGUGUGUAACAACUCACCUGCC